rnacentral:rRNA from 1 species
CCUACGGGGGGCUGCAGUGGGGAAUAUUGGACAAUGGGCGAAAGCCUGAUCCAGCCAUGCCGCGUGUGUGAAGAAGGCCUUCGGGUUGUAAAGCACUUUCAGUGGGGAAGAAAGCCUUGGGGCUAAUACCCUCGAGGAAGGACAUCACCCACAGAAGAAGCACCGGCUAACUCCGUGCCAGCAGCCGCGGUAAUACGGAGGGUGCGAGCGUUAAUCGGAAUUACUGGGCGUAAAGCGCGCGUAGGCGGUCUGAUAAGCCGGUUGUGAAAGCCCCGGGCUCAACCUGGGAACGGCAUCCGGAACUGUCAGGCUAGAGUGCAGGAGAGGAAGGUAGAAUUCCCGGUGUAGCGGUGAAAUGCGUAGAGAUCGGGAGGAAUACCAGUGGCGAAGGCGGCCUUCUGGGCUGACACUGACGCUGAGGUGCGAAAGCGUGGGUAGCAAACAGGAUUAGAUACCCGAGUAGUC